rnacentral:misc_RNA from 1 species
UAGCUCUUUAACAAUUUGGAAAGCUGACAAAACAACAAUUUAUUGUUGUUUGUAAAGUUCUCAAUGUUUGUCUUUAUGACAAACACCAAUACAACACAUUCAAGUGUUCUUGGAAUUUGAGUCCGGCAAAAUCGAUAUGUCUCUCGCUCAUUCAAAUAAUGAGAGACAACUUUGGUGAUUUGAACAUCAACUCGAAACUCCUUCGGGUUGUAU